UCUUUUCGAGGCUUCUUUUUUUGCAGCGGAUCGAGGCCUCCUCUUUUCCUCUUUUCCUCUUUUCCUCUCCCGCCAACCGAUUGGUGGCUUGGUGCUUAGUCUGGAUAGUCGCAAAAGUGAUGCGAUCCGAGUUUUGAUUGAAUUUCGAUCGGACCAAACCGGUCCGAUUUGCAGCAAAUCGAUCCGAGUUUUUAUUUUUAUUUUUCCAGUCACGCUACUGGGGGGCCUCGCCAUUGGGCUCUUGCCGCAGAGACUGCGCAAGGAGGAUUUGAGAGUGAAGAAGCAGAAGAAGAAUAACCAAAUCGAGUAACAAUGUCGAUGUCCAAGAGUUCAAAGAUGCUCCAGUACAUCAACUACAGGAUGCGCGUGACGAUUCACGAUGGUCGUCAGCUAGUUGGAAAGUUCAUGGCCUUCGACCGCCACAUGAAUCUUGUCCUCGGCGAUUGUGAGGAGUUUCGGAAGCUCCCACCCGCAAAAGGAAAGAAGAAUGAAGAGCGUGAAGAACGGAGAACCCUAGGCCUUGUUCUUCUCCGGGGUGAAGAGGUUGUCUCCAUGACCGUCGAAGGGCCACCUCCUCCUGAUGAGAAUCGUGCCAAGGCUGUUGGUGCUGCUGCAAUGGCGGGUCCCGGAAUUGGCCGCGCUGCGGGCAGAGGAAUUCCGACUGCGCCGCUUGUUCAGGCACAGCCUGGGCUUGCUGGGCCUGUUCGUGGCGUUGGUGGGCCUGCUCCUGGAAUGAUGCAGCCUCAGAUAUCACGACCACCAGUUCCUCAGGUGUCUGCGCCACCAAUGACUUAUCCACCUGCUCCUGUGAUUCGCCCUCCUGGACAGCUGCCUGGCUUCCCUGGACAGCCUCCACCAAUGGCACGGGGACCACCACCUCCUAUGCCUGCUCAGUUUGCUGCUGCAAGACCUGGUGGAGCAUCGCCUGGCCCGUUCCCUAUGCCGCCACCACAGUUUGGGCAGCGGCCCAUGGUUCCACCACCGCAGAUGAUGAGAGGACCGCCACCUCCACCUAGACCGGGUAUGCCAGCUCCCCCGCCGCCACGCCCUGGGAUGCCUCCUCCACCAGGCGGUGUUCCUGUUUUUGGCCCACCUCGCCCAGGUAUGCCGCCACCGCCAAACCCUCAGCAGCAACAGCAGAAUCAGCCGCAGCAAUAGUGAUUCGGACCAGAACUCGGGGAAGACGAUUGGAAUUGCUAGAGAGAUAAAUGGACUCUACUACUUUGAUGAAACCGCUAUUGGUUAUAUUCUCAAGUUCAGUGGCAAGAAAAACAACACUUUCGAUCUGCCACUUAUUGCUCAUGUUCUAGUGCUUCAUGGUUUGCUGAGGUAGAGAUUGAGAUAAAUGUCAUUUAACUUUUUAGAUUUUUGAUAUUACAAUGGUACAAUGAGAUAAUUGUUGUUAGCUCUUGAAAUUUAUUUGAGAAAUACAUCUGGGCAGAUUUGUUCAAGCGUGGAACUCAAAUACUUUGUUGGGUCCUGAUGGCUGAUGCAAGACAGUUUUCCUCAAUUGUUAUCUCUACAAAUAGUGACAUUGUCCCAGGGGCUUUACUGCUUUUAUAUAGUGGUUUUAAGGACCAUAAUUAACAUGUCUUGUAUGGUUUUUUUGGCUUUUUUGCUCAAAAUGAAAUACAUAUAUUGCCUGGAAAUCAUUUUUAUUAUCUUAA